AUACAGGGGUGCCUAGGCUGAGACGGCGUUUGCCGAACCCUUUGACCUGAUCCGGGUAAUACCGGCGUAGGGAGUGUC
rnacentral:ncRNA from 1 species